rnacentral:rRNA from 1 species
UGAUUUUAAACAGCCGCGGUAAUUUGACCGUGCAAAGGUAGCAUAAUCAUUUGCCUUAUAAUUGGGGGCUGGAAUGAAAGAAUAAACAAGAGUUAAGCUUUAUUUUUUGGAGAAUUAGAAAUUUCUUUCUUAGUGAAGAAGCUAAGAUAAAAAAGGGGACAAGAAGACCCUUUUGAGCUUUAUUAUUUUUCUUUUUAUGAAGAAUUAAUUUGGUUGGGGCGACCAGGGAAUAUCUUCCCUAUUUAUUACGAUCCACGGUUUGUGAUUAAAAGAAUAAGUUACCAAAGGGAUAACAGCGUAAUUUUUUUUGAGAGUUCUUAUUAAAAAAAAAGAUUGCGACCUCGAUGU